AGAGAGGCACGGAGAGACAAAGACGGGAGGGGAUAUACGAUAAAGCCCUGCCCAGAUCCUCCUCGGCCCAUCACCGGAGCCAUCAGCACAUCAAAGUCUCAUCUCCACAUGCCCAGAGGGGCAGAAUGGCAGAUGGGAAAGGAAUUGGGGGCUCAGAAGAAAUAUCACCUGACUGGGCCCCUCCCGGGGCUGCCCCAUUGUCCAGGUGACGAACACCCCAUUUUUGGUGUGUGCAUGGGAGCCUGAGUACCGGCCACUGCAGAAGGACUAUGGAUCAGAGGGGCCCACGUGCCCGUGGUGAAAUGAGCGCAGGUGUGCAGGAAGCUGUAAGGCAGCGAGUGUAAAGGAGGAGCUGCUUCUUGGAAGGAUCAGGGGAGUCUCAGACGGCUGCCUGAGAGGCCAUCUGUGCCAGCAACUGGAGUAUGGCUGCAGGCUUCAGGUCUCAAAUCAUCAGGUGCCAGCAAAAGGGGAGUCUGUGAUUCAGGCAUGGGUUGAGUAUCUGUAUUUGUAUAUGUAUGUAGGUUGCUCCAAAAGUAAUGCCCCCUAUUUCUUUCCAUGGAAACUCCCAACAGAUACAAAGGGCACAAUAACACUAUUGGAUAGAGCAAAUUCUCAGCUACAAAACUGUUUUUCAACGUAGUCACCACCAUUAGCUAUGCAUUUUCACCUGUGAUGAACAAGAGCCUUCAUGCUGUGCUUGUAAAAAUCUGUACCAGUGGAGGUGAUCCACUGUCACCACUGUUGAAAUGUACCACCCACUGCGCUCACAUCCACUGUUUAGUUUCCAUAAAUACUCAACAAGGGUUGAUGAAUGUCAACAGGUGCAUUUUUUUCCUCAUAGAGGAAUUCAGCUCCUUCACAUACACUUCCAUGUCAGACACCGUGUUGUCAGACUGACCUCCUGCUGCUAUCUGUCACAUGGCAACAAAAUGUAAAGGAAUCUUGGCAGGAAGGUUCAACCUACUGCCAUACCAUCAACAUCCACCUCUGACAUCAUGGGCCAACAUAAUAAAAUAGGAGGCAUUAAUUUCAGAGCAGCCCUCACAUUUCCCACUAGUAGACAUCCAUGCUACUCAGUUUCAGGGGGGAAAGGUGGUUGUUGGGUUAGGGUGCUGUUUGUGCUCAUGUAAAUGCUCUGUGUCUGUGUGGUGGUCACAUAUAUAGGUAUUUAUGUGGUAAAUAUAUCUCUUCAUGUACAUGUCACUACUGGAAAUGCAGGCCUGGUUACAUUUGGGAUCGAGGAGCUACGGAGCUUUGCUACUACCAGGCUGCCAGAUCUAGCCCUAGCUCCCAAGCACUGACUAAUCUUGGCUCACAUUUAUUUUUCUUGUCCCUAGAUUAUUUUCCACUUAAGUGCAAGCAUAGCAAACUCCACCUUGAAUCUGAUUACAUAAAUGUCUCAGUCUCUGGCAUUAGCUCUGAAUAUAUUCAAUUACUGGUUAAUCUGUGAAGUUGCUAUAUUUGAAGAGAGUCUAAGCAUUUCCAAAUUUCAGAGGAAAUCUCUGGGCAGAAAAAAAAAUCUGUUCAAAUUGCAUCACUCCUACUUUCUUCUUGGACCAUAUGACUCAGCUGCAAGUACUGGGAAAUCCAUAUUUCAAGAUUACAUUAAUCUAAUCAUGAAGUUUGAUUAAAUUAAAUACAUGGUUAGCUUCUAGUCCAACUUAUAAGCAAUACAAGUUUAACUGAAAAUUACGUCUCUGAUACAAGAUGCAAAACAAACUGAGUGACAGAUUCUUAUCUUUCUAGAGUUGAUGGAGAGAAGGGCAGUAAAAAACAGACAGAAGCUGUAAGUCCAUCACUGAGAACCAAAUUUCCCUAAAAAAUGCUGAAACCCUCCCAUUUCUGUUUGUUUUCCUCCAGUUAUUCUGCUGGUACUGAAAUACUUAGUUUUGAAGUUUGCAUCACAAUCUGUUCCUCUUAAAUAUCACUUUUGUUUCUGUCCUAGGACACACAUCUACUUCCCACAUUGUUUUUAUGAAGAUCAUUCUUACAAAGAUCAUCCUUUGAGUAGCUAUGGGGGAAGUAUCUUAAUGCUUCCUUAGCAGAGAUAACUGAUACUGCACCAACUAAAACUAUCCAUUUAA